rnacentral:rRNA from 1 species
GAAUUUUGGUCAAUGGGGGAAACCCUGAACCAGCGACGCCGUGUGUGGGAUGAAUGGGUUACACCCUGUAAACCACUGUCAGAUGGGAAAAAAAGAAUCUUCUGGGCUCUGGGAUUGUACCAUCAGAGGAAGGACCGGCUAACUCCGUUCCAGCAGCCGCGGUAAUACGUAGGGUCCGAGCGUUGUACGGAAUUACUGGGUAUAAAGGGUGCGCAGGCGGGCUUUUGCGUUGGGGGUUAAAGACCAAAGCUUAACUUUGGGAAUGCCUCCGAAACGGGAAGUCUUGAAUAUGAGAGAGGUAGGUAGAAUUCCUGGUGUAGCGGUGAAAUGCGUAGAUAUCAGGAGGAAUACCAGUGGCGAAGGCGGCCUACUGGCUCAUUAUUGACGCUCAGGCACGAAAGCGUGGGGAGCAAACAGG